rnacentral:ncRNA from 1 species
GAUAGAUGAGUAGGGUGGGCUAAAGGUAGUCGUCUUCAAUGGCAAUACCGAGGGGUCUCGUGACAGGUGAGGGAUAACUAGUAUCAGAUAAUAUCAGUCAUGAAAUUAGCAACAACCAACGUCACCGUCGUUGGCAAAACACCGACUAACGAUGCUAGUUAGAAAGAGUCGGGUCUUCCCAAAGUUAGGUGCUUGCACCGAAGCCGAUCCGCUCUACCCACAGCUCUGCCCAGCGUUGUGACGCGUAUGAAUGGAUUAACGAGAUUCCCACUGUCCCUAACUACUAUCUAGCGAAACCACAGCCAAGGGAACGGGCUUGGCAAAGACAGCGGGGAAAGAAGACCCUGUUGAGCUUGACUCUAGUCUGACUUUGUGAAGAAUCAUGCAUGGUGUAGUAUAAGUGGGAGUGUUUCGGCACGUCAGUGAAAUACCACUACUUUCAUCGUUUCCUUACUUAUUCGGUAAUACGGGAACGUUUUCUCUGAAAACUUGUGAUUGAUUUUAAGCCGGCGUACUUGGUGCGCCGGCGACCCGCGCCGAUGACAUUGUCAGGCGGGGAGUUUGACUGGGGCGGUACUAUCUAUCAAAC